AUUGAACGCUGGCGGCAGGCUUAACACAUGCAAGUCGAGCGGGGUGAUGGUGCUUGCACUAUCACUUAGCGGCGGACGGGUGAGUAAUGCUUAGGAAUCUGCCUAUUAGUGGGGGACAACAUCUCGAAAGGGGUGCUAAUACCGCAUACGUCCUACGGGAGAAAGCAGGGGAUCACUUGUGACCUUGCGCUAAUAGAUGAGCCUAAGUCGGAUUAGCUAGUUGGUGGGGUAAAGGCCUACCAAGGCGACGAUCUGUAGCGGGUCUGAGAGGAUGAUCCGCCACACUGGGACUGAGACACGGCCCAGACGCCUACGGGAGGCAGCAGUGGGGAAUAUUGGACAAUGGGGGGAACCCUGAUCCAGCCAUGCCGCGUGUGUGAAGAAGGCCUUAUGGUUGUAAAGCACUUUAAGCGAGGAGGAGGCUCUUUUGGUUAAUACCCAAGAUGAGUGGACGUUACUCGCAGAAUAAGCACCGGCUAACUCUGUGCCAGCCGCCGCAGUAA
rnacentral:rRNA from 1 species